rnacentral:rRNA from 1 species
GACGAACGCUGGCGGCGUGGAUUAGGCAUGCAAGUCGAACGGUAUCAUCCUUUCGGGGGUGAGAGAGUGGCGAACUGGUGAGUAACACGUAGGUUAUCUACCCUCAAGACGGGGACAACCCAGGGAAACUUGGGCUAAUACCGGAUGUGAGCAACUUUUAGUUGUUUGAAAGGUGGCGUAAGCUGUCGCUUGGGGAUGAGCCUGCGUCCUAUUAGUUAGUUGGUGAGGUAACGGCUCACCUAGGCAAUGAUAGGUAGGCGGCCUUAACGGGUGGUCGCCCACACUGGGAUUGAGAUACGGCCCAGACUCCUACGGGAGGCAGCAGUCGAGAAUAGUCUACAAUGGUCGGAAGACUGAUAGUGCGACGCCGCGUGAACGAUGAAUCCCUUCGGGGUGUAAAAGUUCUUUUAUAUGUGAGCAGUGCUUCUUAUAUUAACAGUAUGGGGAGAGAGAUAUUAGCAUAUGAAUAAAGCAAACGGCUAAACUCCGUGCCAGCAGCCGCGGUAAA